rnacentral:rRNA from 1 species
UGGGGAAUAUUGGACAAUGGACCAAGAGUCUGAUCCAGCAAUUCUGUGUGCACGAUGAAGUUUUUCGGAAUGUAAAGUGCUUUCAGUUGGGAAGAAAGAAAUGACGGUACCAACAGAAGAAGUGACGGCUAAAUACGUGCCAGCAGCCGCGGUAAUACGUAUGUCACGAGCGUUAUCCGGAUUUAUUGGGCGUAAAGCGCGUCUAGGUGGUUAUGUAAGUCUGAUGUGAAAAUGCAGGGCUCAACUCUGUAUUGCGUUGGAAACUGUAUAACUAGAGUACUGGAGAGGUAAGCGGAACUACAAGUGUAGAGGUGAAAUUCGUAGAUAUUUGUAGGAAUGCCGAUGGGGAAGCCAGCUUACUGGACAGAUACUGACGCUGAAGCGCGAAAGCGUGGGUAGCAAACAGGAUUAGAUACCCUGGUAGUCCACGCCGUAAACGAUGAUUGCUAGGUGUUGGGGGUCGAACCUCAGCGCCCAAGCAAACGCGAUAAGUAAUCCGCCUGGGGAGUACGUACGCAAGUAUG